rnacentral:misc_RNA from 1 species
AAAAAAAUCAGGCAUCUUGCUCCAAGCCCUACGUUGAUCAAACCAGACAACCAGCAGCGGAACCAGAACUCUAAAACGACGUCACAGUUAUGAACCUCACACAGUCACAACUCACUCUCAGUUUCACAGCAAUUUAACAACCAGUAAUUUAAAGCUUCAUCAAUCAAAAACCCUAGCAAAAAACUGAAAAAUCAAAUUUCAGGUAAUAUAGGACUUGAAAUUCCCAGGGAAAAAAAUGCCGCCAGUGAGAAUCAUUGCAAAGAAUUUCAUGAACAUGGUGGCAUCUCUGCCCGCCAUGAAACUCGAUAAGCUCUACGCUAAUCCCUUCAUUUGCCAAGCCAUUCUCAGGUCAUUACCGCCAUUAUCGAAGAAGUAUGUCCUGCAAAUGCUGUAUAUCGAUGGUCCAGUAUCAGCGAAAAUGCUUGAGGAAUGGGUGCUUCCUGAUGCAUCCUCCAAGCACAGGGUCGCUGUUGAUCGCUUGAUUCAGUUGAGAAUUUUUUCUGAAACCGUUGAUAGGUAACUGCUUGUCUAUGCAUCUCUCGAUUAGUAACCUAUUCGUUUCUGAGAUAGGAGCCGAUAGGAAAUGGGACUAUAUUCUCAGCGCUUUUCUGAAUUUUUGGUUCAUACUAUUAAAUUUGAAGGAAAAAGGAAGCCAAUUAGAAAUUAAAUCCAACAUUUCAGAUUAGCCUCCGGAAGCAUUUAAUAAAUCGGUAAGUUUUUAUAUUCGCAUUUAUGGAUUUUUCUGUUGUACCUUUAGCUGGAAUGAAUUUAGCUCCCUGGUACGGGUUGUCAAAGAAACGAAAGAAAAAUAGGAUCAAUCUGCCUUGCUUUAUGUAUUCCAUUGAUACACUAAUGUGGAAGGUUAUCUGUUAGUUAUAUUUUAUGCAUAGAAAGUCGACUGAAAUCAGAUGGCAAUCUGAUAGCAAUCUAAUAGCAAUCUAGUAAAUAGACAUAGAAAACUAUCUUACAUGUAUACUCCUUUGAUUGGUGGCAUCAUAUUGCUUGGGAUUUUGUAGAUUUUGUGUUUUCAUUCAUAAUCUUAUAUUAUCAAUGGUGUUUAAAAUAUAAACGUUGAAUACUGCAGUGAAGUUUUGCCAAGGGAACCAAUGCCUUCAAAUAUUGUUGCAAGACUCCCAAGCUUGGACGAACUUGAGGCAUAUGCCCUUGGACAAUGGGAGUGUUUCCUGCUGCAACUUAUAAACUCGACCCAAGCAGAAAGGCCAACUAACUUCAGCUCCUCUAUGAUGAAAAUUUUCCAGAGGGGUCUUUUGAGUCAAAGGGAUAAAGAGGCGCCGCGAUUAACUGAGAGCGGUUUCCAGUUUUUGGUGUGCAUCAUAUUCUUAAGCAAUUUGCAAUUUUAGUUUUGGUUACUGGAAUUUGAAAUUUAUGUUGAAUCUGUGAGCACAGCUGAUGGAUACAAAUGCACAAUUGUGCUACAUCAUCAGAGAAUAUAUUUCUAACUCUGAGGUAUGGACCAUUUAAGUUCUUUUAGGGGGCUUUCUCUUCUGACUUUUGCCCCAAGUGCAAGUGGUAAUAGAUUACUGAAUUUUGAGAAUUUCUAUUAUAAAUGUGACUCAUUACGUUUAUAUCUAUAUCUUCAAGAAAACUCAAGAUGUUGUAUGAAGACCUUUAAAAAUAAGAUUUAAAAUAAAAACUGCCAUGCAUAAAUCUUAUAUAUGUCGCGUUUGAUUGCUUAGACAGAACCUGGACUUUUGUAUUAUUUACAUUUUUGAAGUUUUGGACUAUUAACAAAUAUAUCCAUCUUCUGUAAGAAGUCUUUUAAUUUCUUUUGGAUAUUUUUCUCCUUAAGUUUCAUUUCAUAACCAUUUCUUCAGAUGUCUUUCAAAGACAAUUGAUGAUCCAAGCUCCUUGAAUAGCUUGGGAUUUCACAAUUAAAGUGUGUUUUGAGCUGCUUGCUUGGUCAAUAGAGGCUGACCUAGUAUGAUUAAAUAGAAUGGGAGGCUAAAAUCCACCUCAGUUCAACUUCUGGGGCUUGUAGACCUAUGCACUUCUUGAGCUUCAGGAACUGCAACUAUCUUUUUAGAUGUUCUAGCAAGCCAUAUUGUUUAGUGUGAGGGUGGUUUGCUUGAUAAUCAUAUUGUUAACUUUUUAAAUAUGAUCAUUUGACUUCACUUCUCUGCCUCUGGUAUAUGAGAGAGAGAUCUAUUCCACACAACUAAUUUUAAGAUGCGAUGAAUUGUCCAUUUGUUCACCUGUUGUUGACUAAUCUUAAAAUGAUUUGUAAAUAUUCUUAUGUUUGAUUGUUUAUGUUCUAGUAAAAAACUAAGAACUGACAAUUGCUUAAAUGUUUAAUAUCCUUGUUUUAAACUUUUGAAUAACGAUGGCGAUUACAAUAGUAAUGAGAAUUGGGGGGAUCUAGUGAGCACUCAACCCACUUGGUUCUCACUGAGGCCUUUCUCAGCCUUCUGGACUAUUUCAGUGAGCUCAAGCUUACUUCAGAUUGAACUUGAAUUAAUCUCAGAAUAGCCAGAGAUUUGCUUGGUUUGGUUUAUUUACAUUACAUUGCUAUAAUGUUGUCUAUCUUCUAUUAAGAUUUUAUUUUCUUUUGGUUCAGGAACGUGACAUAGAUCCAGCAGAUCUGAUUUCCUUUCUGCUAGAGCUUAGUUUUCAUAUCACUGGUGAGGCAUAUAAUAUGAAUACAUUGACUGAGAUCCAGAGGCAUAUGAUAAAGGACCUUGCAGACUUGGGAUUGAUUAAACUUCAGCAGGGCAGGAAAGAGAGUUGGUUUAUACCUACUAAAUUAGCAACCAAUCUUUCAGUAAGCUUGACAGAUUCAUCAUCACGAAAACAGGGAUUUGUUGUUGUGGAAACAAACUUUAGGUUGUAUGCUUAUUCAUCAUCUAAGCUGCAUUGUGAAAUUCUGCGUCUUUUCUCAAGGAUAGAGUAUCAACUUCCAAACCUUUUUGUUGGAGCCAUAACAAAAGAAAGCUUGUAUAAUGCUUUUGAAAAUGGCAUCACAGCAGAGCAGAUAAUUUCUUUUCUUCAGCAGAAUGGUCACCCUCGAGUUGCAGAGAGAAUACCUUCAGUUCCUGAAAAUGUUGCAGAUCAGAUAAGACUCUGGGAAUCCGAUCUGAACAGGGUUGAGAUGACUCCAGCACACCUUUACGAUGAAUUCCCCUCUAGGGAUGUCUUCGAGGCCGCUUGCGACUUUGCACGAGAGUGGUGUGGUUUGCUGUGGGAGGAUUCAAAGAAAAUGCGCAUGGUAGUCAAGGCAGAAAUUCACAUGCACAUGCGAGAGUUUCUUCGUGGACAAAAGUAGCUAGUACGCUAAUCGUGAAUAUUGAGUUGAUCAGAUGAGUUCAUGUAAAUCAAAUUUUUUGAAGUCCUGCAGUGUUGGAUCUAGAAAAUUUUAUCAGUGGGCGAUUUAUGCAAACAUAUUUAUAAAUGUGUAAUUAAGAAUAGAUCACUAACUAUUCACACUGGAGCAAUUUAGUAGGAAAAAAAAAAGGAAGGAAAAUGAAAAUGAUCUUCCAUGGGUAGCUAGUCAUGCCAACAAAGGAGCUUGACCACACAUCUCCUUAUAAUAUAAAGCCUAGCUCUUUGCUCUCUAAGCGAAGCUCCAAGACCUCUGCCAGAAAUCCUUCUCUUUGAGACUCCCAUGGUGAUGGUAUUACUGCUCAUCUUCAUCUCUAGUGAUCAACUGCUGCUGCAG